GAAGUCGGUCAGGCAGCCGCUGGGCAAGAGGUGCAAACCUGGCGCCGAGAGGAAAGUCCGGGCUCCACAGAGCAGGAUGCCGGUUAACGACCGGGCACCGUGAGGUGACGGAAAGUGCAACAGAAAACAAACCGCCGAUGCCUCCGCCCACGCGGAGGCAGGUAAGGGUGAAACGGCGAGGCAAGAGCUCACCGCGGACGUGGUAACACGGACGGCACGGCAAACCCCAUCUGGAGCAAGGCCAAAUAGGGAAGCAUGGGCGUGGCUCGCGCUGCUUCCGGGUAGGCUGCUUGAGCGUGCUGGUAACAGUACGCCUAGAGGAAUGGCUGUCCACGACAGAACCCGGCUUAUCGACCGGCUUCCCCC
rnacentral:RNase_P_RNA from 1 species